rnacentral:rRNA from 1 species
UACGAGGGGUGCAAGCGUUGCUCGGAAUUAUUGGGCGUAAAGGGUAGGUAGGUGGUCUCAUUUGUCUGGGGUGAAAGCCUUGGGCUUAACCUAAGAAGUGCCCCGGAAACGGUGAGACUCGAGUCCUGGAGAGGGUCGUGGAAUUCCCGGUGUAGCGGUGAAAUGCGUAGAGAUCGGGAGGAACACCAGAGGCGAAGGCGGACGACCUGGAUAAGUACUGACACUCAACUGCGAAAGCGUGGGGAGCAAACAGG